UGGUAGUCCUGAGUGUUCUGCAAGGGAGCCACUGCAGCAGAGCUUUCCACGGCGUCCUGAAUGUGAUGACAACGCUCAGAGUGACUUGCCAGGCUUGUGGCCGUGUGUUAAUCGAACGGCGACACCAAGCUCAGCCAUUACGACUGUAGGAGCCAGCCAUUUGAGCAUGAACAUUUAGGUAGGUUGAGUGCAUCAUGUUCUAGUACCAUGGCAUGCCAAUUUAUUCCCUUUGUUGCAUCGACACUUGUCUUUGCAAAUAGGGUUGGAGAGACGCCAGAAAACUAGCACCCAUGCCCGCUCGCCUCUUACAGCUGCCUCUCAGCCAAGAAAUGACUUCUCACGAUCAGGAUCAUAUGGGCUGAGCAGGGCUCCAUUUCCCACUGCUGAUGUACUGUCUAGUAAGUGCAUGUUACUUUUAGUUGAUACUAAGUGAUAAUUUGAAUGCUAAGUUUGGCCAUGCUCUGUCAUACAACAGGGCAUGACUAUUGCAGUAUUGCUUUCUGGUACAGCAGAGAGUAGAUUCCGUUGCAAUUUAAUUAGGCAAUACUGCUGAAUGAGCUUGCAAAAUCUGAUUACAUUCAUAAUGCAACCUCGACGUUCGCAUGCUAUGCAACUGCAAACUUGUGAACUAGAAAACCUUGUUUUGCUAUUGAUGGACAUUUCAUUGGCAAAGAACCUUGUGCGGGAAAUUCACUCUCAAUGGCUAAAUAACUUGCAGCACCUACCUCAAG